AGAGCGGGAGAAGGAGCACCAGCAGCACAACUCCUGCAAGUUAAACAAAAAAAAGAAAAAACAGGCUCGUCCGCGGGACAGCGCCGAGGCUCGGCAUCCCGCCAGGCGCUCCCGUCCCCCGCCAGAUCCACCUCGCCGGCGGUCCCGCCGCGGUGAUGGGAGGAAGCCUGGCCGAGGCCGCCAAGUCUUGCACGCUCUAAGUCGCCUUGGCGCUGCGGCUGGAAGAUGCUCCGCGCGGCAGGACCGCGUUGCUGCUGACGAGCCCCCGCGGAGUGGAAGAUGCCUUGCUUUGGGAUUACGCGUGGAGAAAGGCCAUCAGUCAAGGGGAGAGCUGGCUGGUGAACCUCUCUGACUUUCCCCCCCUCCGGGGAAGUGGCUUCAAUGGCUCCAUCUCCCAGGAGAAGCAGUAGGAAAGAUGCCAACGCCUUGCCAAGCAUGUCCUCAACUUUCUGGGCUAUCAUGAUCCUGGCUAGUCUCCUAAUCGCUUACUGCACUGAAAUAACGCAACAGCCCCAGAUGAAUCUACCUCCUCAGCUACCUCCAAAUAUUGUCUCCUCUUUAACAAACAAUGCAGCUAAAACCAUCCAAGGAGAAAAACAGCAAGAUCAGCUCUUCCUACCCAGCUCCAGAACAGAAGCUAGUGGCAGCAGAUAAAUUAUGGAAGUAAGGGAUUUGGAUGAGUGUGAGCAGUCCCUGAGGACAAUGGAGAGGGCUCUGCAGCUUUGGAAGGCUCAGGAAACAAGGUAUCUGUUGUGCAUCUGUGUAUCCCUAAUAACUUUUUAAUUUGGGGGUGGAGUUCUGCCAAAUUUUUCAGAGAGGCAGAAGUCGCAAAUAUAAUUAAGUUGCUGAAGGUUUGUGAAAAUACGUGAUAAUUAGAAGACAGAGACCCCAUAAAUGUCCCAACUGUGGGAACAGAUAUUACGUCAGCUCAUGUGCUAUUAAAUCUAGAAAAUCCACAUUGUCUUCAAAAAUAUCCAACUGUGAGAAAUCGGAGCUUACAGUCAAUUACAAGAUGUGAACAUUUAGGAAACYAGGCAUCAUUUGUUCA
rnacentral:lncRNA from 1 species